UGGUAGUGUAUUGGACUACCAUAGCGGUCACGGGUAGCGGGGAAUUAGGGUUCGAUUCCGGAGAGGGAGCCUGAGAAACGGCUACCAUUUCUACGGAAGGCAGCAGGCGCGUAAAUUACCCAAUCCUGAUUCAGGGAGGUAAUUAAUAGACAUAACAAUUCCGGCCUUUUGGCUUUGGAAAGGUAAUGAGCUAAGUUUAAGUAUCUUAGCGAAAUCUAUUGGAGGGCAAGUCUGGUGCCAGCAGCCGCGGUAAUUCCAGCUCCAAUAGCGUAUGUUAAUUUUGCUGCAAUUAAAAAGCUCGUAGUUGAAUUUCCGGCAUACGAAAGUAUGUCUGUCUGAUGCGAUUAUCGAUACAGAAAUGUUUUGGUAACCCGCGCAGACCUUUACUGUGAAUAAAUUAGAGUGCUCAAAACAGGCGUUUGCUUGAAUAUUUUAGCAUGGAAUAAUAAAAUACGACUUUCUUGAUUUUAUUGGUUAUUUAAGAAAGUAAUGAUUAACAGGAACAGUUGGGGGCAUUCGUACUUAACAGUCAGAGGUGAAAUUCUUAGAUUUGUUAAAGACGAACUAAUGCGAAAGCAUUUGCCAAGGAUGUUUUCAUUAAUCAAGAACGAAAGUUAGGGGAUCAAAGACGAUUAGA
rnacentral:rRNA from 1 species